ACCCUACUCACGGGAUGGAGGGCCCCUGCCUGGAGACCCCUGGGAGUUCAUGGUGGCUCUUGGGCAUAUAUUCCUGCCCAGCCACUGACUGCCCAGCCCCAAAACACUACCUGGAAUCAGCCACCGGACCUUUGUCCCAGGUUUCCUGGCUCAGCCCGGCUGGGUGGAGCCUCCCUCUGGCCCUCUCCCUACAUCAGCAAAGCCUCAGUGACCCUUGAGCUGAGUCAAUUGGGGCCUCCAUGGACAUGCAGAGUCCAGACCCCAGAGUGCCAGUACCACCUGCUCCCCUCCCUCGCCACCACACCCACAGACAGACGCACAAGCAGACACAUUGGUUGCAAGCCGGGAGCACAUUUAUGGCAAAGCACGGCUCAGCUCUAGGGGAAAGCAGAGCCCUUACUAAGGCCACAGGAGGCACCCAGGAAGAAGGGCAGCAGGUAAUAUGCAAACACCCAGGGCAGAGGGUGCAUUUUCUGGCUUAGCCGGAGGAGGCGAAUGGAGAUUUGGAGAGAUAGGUCUCUUGAGUCCCGAUGAAGGGGUCAGGUCUGGGAGGGAGGAAUAAAAUGGGCCGACAGCUCUUGGAUUCCCAGGCUGGGGAUCCCAGAGUGCAGUCACCGGGAGGAGAAGAGUAGGAGAAAGGGAAAAUCGGUGUGGCUUACUCAUUUAUUUAGGCAAAACCAUCAGCCAGGCGCAGAAUGCUUGGGUGCAUAUGUGGGUAUGAGGGUAGGUAUGAGGUGCAAGGCCCCACCCAUGCAUCGAGGUUCUCUCGCCUGCCAGCCCCUGCCCCUGCCCUUUCCUCAAGGCUGGGCCCCUCCUCCCGUGCUUUUCCUGCCUCUUCCCCCCACCCCGCGCCUCAGCCUCAGCCAGGAGCCGCGCACGCAGCUACUCACUCUUCCUGUGCCUCAGGACUCUCACUUCUAGGGACCAAGAGGAGAGAAGUGACAGCGGAGUUAGGAGGGAAAGGGGGCCAGGAUGAGACUGGGAUAGCAGGGGACAGGGAGCGGGCCAGGGAGAGCAGGAGGGGGGAAGUGGAGAAGAGAGGAGGAGCAUUUCUGCCCAUCUGACCCUGGCUCAGGCUGCUCUGGGGCCCCAUGAGGGUGGUCCAUCGAGUUCCUGGUUUGGCUGGUGCCCCUGAGGGCUGGGCAGGGAGGAGCGGCGCUGCCCGCAGCCAGGGCCAGCGCCCUCGAGGGGCA
rnacentral:lncRNA from 1 species